UACGGGGGGCGCGAGCGUUAAUCGGAAUUACUGGGCGUAAAGCGCGCGUAGGCUGUUGUGUAAGUUGGGGGUGAAAUCCCACGGCUCAACCGUGGAACAGCCCUUGAUACUGCGCGACUUGAAUCCGGGAGAGGGUGGCGGAAUUCCAGGUGUAGGAGUGAAAUCCGUAGAUAUCUGGAGGAACAUCAGUGGCGAAGGCGGCCACCUGGACCGGUAUUGACGCUGAGGCGCGAAAGCGUGGGGAGCAAACAGG
rnacentral:rRNA from 1 species